rnacentral:rRNA from 1 species
GUAGGGUGCGAGCGUUAAUCGGAAUUACUGGGCGUAAAGCGUGCGCAGGCGGUUCGCUAAGACCGAUGUGAAAUCCCCGGGCUUAACCUGGGAACUGCAUUGGUGACUGGCGGGCUAGAGUAUGGCAGAGGGGGUAGGAAUUCCACGUGUAGCAGUGAAAUAGCGUAGAGAUGUGGAGGAAUACCGAUGGCGAAGGCAGCCCCUCGGGCCGAAUACUGACGCUCAUGCACGAAAGCGUGGGGAGGCAAACAGGAUUAGAUACCCUGGUAGUCCACGCCCUAAACGAAUGUCAACUAGUUGUCGGGUCUUCAUUGACUUGGUAACGUAGCUAACGCGUGAAGUUGACCGCCUGGGGAGUACGGUCGCAAGAUUA